rnacentral:rRNA from 1 species
UAUCAUCUGCGCAAGUACGAAAUCGAUGACCCCGCAGCCGGCAACGGCGUGGGUGUCUUCACCAAUCCCGAGCUGCAGGAGCUCUACACCGAUCUGGUCCUGCUGGGCAAAAUUUCGG